GGGGCUGUAGCUCAGUGGUAGAGCGCUUGCUUUGCACAUGUGAGGCACUGGGUUCAAUCCUCAGCACCA
rnacentral:tRNA from 1 species